CCUGCCUCAUACAGGGGGAUAACAGUUAGAAAUGACUGCUAAUACCGCAUAAGCGCACAAGACCGCAUGGUUUGGUGUGAAAAACUGAGGUGGUAUGAGAUGGACCCGCGUCUGAUUAGCUAGUUGGAGAGGUAACGGCUCACCAAGGCAACGAUCAGUAGCCGACCUGAGAGGGUGACCGGCCACAUUGGGACUGAGACACGGCCCAAACUCCUACGGGAGGCAGCAGUGGGGAAUAUUGCACAAUGGGGGAAACCCUGAUGCAGCAACGCCGCGUGAGUGAAGAAGUAUUUCGGUAUGUAAAGCCCUAUCAGCAGGGAAGAAGAGAGACGGUACCUGACUAAGAAGCCCCGGCUAACUACGUGCCAGCAGCCGCGGUAAUACGUAGGGGGCAAGCGUUAUCCGGAUUUACUGGGUGUAAAGGGAGCGUAGACGGCUUGAUAAGUCUGAAGUGAAAGGCCAAGGCUUAACCAUGGAACUGCUUUGGAAACUAUGAAGCUAGAGUGCUGGAGAGGUAAGCGGAAUUCCUAGUGUAGCGGUGAAAUGCGUAGAUAUUAGGAGGAACACCAGUGGCGAAGGCGGCUUACUGGACAGAAACUGACGUUGAGGCUCGAAAGCGUGGGGAGCAAACAGGAUUAGAUACCCUGGUAGUC
rnacentral:rRNA from 1 species